GACCUGUGUCCUUUAUUUGCGGUCGUGAGGCAACAUAUAAAACGCCGGAGCAAGAUCGGCAGCAAAACAAGAGCAGACUUGAUCCAGUGUGGACAAAGUCUGACACAAUGGCGGCUUUCAAGAUGUUCACUGUUGUCUUUUUACUGGUCGGCACCAUCAGCCUGCAUCCUAUUCGGGCACAGACUCCAGAUGAAAAUGACGUACCUGCACCAGCACCUGAUCCAACUAAUUCUGGAGCAACAGCUACAUCAGGCAACAUUUAUGAUGGCAACCUACCUGACAUAAUAUGUUUGGAGGCAGGUGACACUCUGGUUUUAAAACCUAAGCCAGGUGUCGUCAUUCAUUUCCGUUUUGCGAACAACGCUAUUUGGGUUCAGGGUAUCAAUUCAGAUGGCAACGUAGAUCCACCCACACCAUCACCGCCUGUUAUUCCAAACACACCACAGUCUCCUUCUUCAAACCCACCACCGGUUCCCCCUGUAAAUCCAAUAACACCAGAUGACAGAAAGUGAUGGGCACGACUGCGGCUGGAUUAGAGCUCCAUCUUUAUUGCUUUGUUUCCUUUGAUUGUUAAAUUGCCAUCAAGACUUUUCUGCUGCUUGCAUUCUCCUCCUGUAAUCAGUGAUUCAUAAGCAUCAUGUAGUCUGGUGUGACAUGAAAACACUUGAUUGGUUUCCAUGUUGUUUGCACGCUCGCUCCCGGUAAACGUUUUUGCUUGAAUAAAACUCAUGAGAGCUCA